GCUGCAGAGCAACAAACACAAAUGUACACCUGAAGCUAGUUGUCUUUGUACUUGCCUUUGUAAAAAAGCACUUGUUCUUUAUUAGUAUCUUUUAAACUGUUGGACUGUUUAAUACAAUAUUACCAAUACUGCUAUAAUCAAAACAACAUUUAAAAUAGCAUUGUUUAGUGGUUAAAAUCAAAUUACAAUUCACACAUUUUGCUCUCCAAAGCUGCUUUGUAAAGACCAGAGUUUGAUGAAAUAGUAGAAGACCAUAUCAUGUGCUGUAUGAAUUCUUGUGCAUGUUAAAUAUGCAUUAACAAACAUGGAAUGUUUGAUUAUUUCUAUGGGUUAGAUUAAUACAAUAUAUCUUUGGUUGUUUUGUCAUUGCUAUUGGCAACGACCUGAAAAGGUAUGUCCCUACUUCUGUUUCAUUAAAUAAAGUACUGCAGAGAUAAUGCAUUUUUGCAAAUCCUGGUAGUGAGUCACCAUUUUAGCACUUCCGGUUCCAUUGCCCCAAAAAAUAAACGUUUGUUUACCACAGAGCUUAUUUUUUUGCAAUCUUCCAAAUAUAAAUGGGAAAACUCCAUAGGCUUUCGGUCGAGGGAACCAGUGUCGGGUUAUCAUCUCUGGACAUCCAUCCAUCCCACAUGAUUAAAUGUAAUGAAACCUAUUAGGAAAAACAAGAAGUAACUAAUGCCAAAAAAGAUUAAUAAAAUGUCACCAAAGAAAUUAUAAAUUAGCAGAAUAUAUAUUUUAUCUGAAAUUAUAAGAAGAGACAGAUCCUUAUCCAAGCAUAGGCUUUCCCCGACAACUAUUUGAUUUGAAAUUGAUCUCACCUUGAGCUCCCAUGAUAUUUUUGAUGUGGUCACAAUGUGUCGAGGUCAAAGUGAGCUAUAUAGUUGUGCUAAAAUUGUAACCUCACAGCGCAGUCACUGUGUCUACUCGUGAUUUCAUUGUGUGUAACUGUGUAUCUGUUAGUUUAGUGAGUUCACUGUGAUCUAUCAUUUAUCUUAUAUUGGUCAGUAAUGUCACAAACAUACACAAGUUCAUAUAUAUUUUGUAUUCUUGUCAGCCUGCAGUUGACGAAAAUAUGUCUAUUUGACAAAUGCAUUUAGAUUCUGCUGUUGUUUUGGUGACUCGUUUUUGGUAUUUCUUUUUCCCCUAGAAAAGACUUCACACAUUCUAAAACUGAGGAAGCAAUCUCAAUGCAAUCAGGUGGAUUACUGAAGCCAGAUGAUUCCACACCUGACCUGGCAAGAUGGAUGGUUCACACAUACCUGGCCAUGCACAAGUACUCAGCUGACACAGGGCCAGGCCACAGUGCAUAUUGGCAUUAGAAUAUCAUAUGUGCAUAUGUGAAUAGCAAAAAUACCACUCAUUUCUCCAGUGUAACAAUUUCAUGCUGUGUGUCAUUUUGUGACAAAAACUCUUGUUUCAUUGAACUAUUAAGUGCUAUAGCCUAUUGCUGCAGCAUCUAUUGUAAUUAGGAAUUACUACAUUCCCAAAUUAUUGUUUAACUUUAGAUUCUUUUAACCAUAUUUAAAUAUGUGACAAAGAUAUGUUGAUAUAUCUGUUCAGAAUAAUUGUAACAACAUUAUUUCAACCAAGAAGACAAAUAAUAACAACCAAACUUUUAUUCACCAAAGUGUAUUUAUUUAAAAAUAAAACAUUUAGGCGUGUGUGUGCAUGCGUGCGUGCACGCGCAGAUUCAAAUUUGCCGCCAAAUACUUUUCCCGCCUAAGAAUUUGUUUCUCCACUGCCUCAUUCCGAGUCUGCAAUCUGAAUCUGCACGUGUUGGAAGAGCGCGCGGCUGAUAUGGGUAUGUUGUUUCGCUGUAAGAUACGACAGGGUACACACCAUCUUGCCACCUGAUCACCGACUGAGGUAAAUGUUUCAUACUACAUGACACGACAUUUCAUAUAGCAUGGCUGCGUAUUUGUGCUAAGUUUAACAUUUUGAAGCUAACAUUAGCAUUCCUUAAUGGUGCUCAGUCACAAAACUGGCACUGAGGGCUCGAAAGAUCAUUUACCCUUGACUCAAAACAAGUCAACUUGUCGUUUAAAUCAAAGUUUGUUCAAGUCUGUUAUGGCAGUAACCGUAAGAAACGUUAACGUUAUUGCAAUAUACAAACGUUUUUAAAUGUUAAACGUAAAAGGCGGGUUAAUGUUAACUGUAUCAAGUCGGUGAUGUUUAUUGAUCUUUUUCAGUGGCUGUACACCUUAUUGAAGAUGCUACAAAAUUUACAGGAAAGGAGCAUUUUCGUAUCCUUUUGUUAAAAUGAACUGAAUUUGUUUUUACAUAUUGGAUUGUUGGAAAAUUGCAUCGAUACAGAUGAACAGUUACAACCCAAUGCAGUGGCUAAGUGAAAGUACUAAUAUAUAUUGACUCUAUAUAAAUAAUAUAAUAUUAAAUACAUGUCACAUGGCAGAUGAAAACAUUAUUGUUUUGGCCUUUCCAGGCUCUCAGAUCACUGUCUCAGUGGAACAUGUUGUGCAAUGCAAGAAUGUAAUUAAAAAUAAUUGUUUGUUCAUUAUAUACUAUUAUGCCAGGUCACGUGGAAAGACUGGAGAUCUAUAGCAGAUGACCAUGGCAAUCCAGAACAACCACCUGGACAGCAACUAGUCUGGUGAGGAGAGCAGGGUCUUUCUUUUGCUGAAUCUGUCUGCUGCUUUUGACAACUAUCCUCCAGUUUGUCCUUUCAACCCUCAUGUCUCAGAAACUGCACUUCAAUGGUUCAAGUAGUUCUUUCACAGCUGGAUGCUCUGAAGGUUGCUGCACACAUCUCAUCCUGCUGGAUAGAGACUCCUUGCUGGAUAAUGAAUGGCCUUCAACUCAACCUCGACCAAAACAGAACUGCCCAUGUUUUCAACCAACCCAACCUUGGUGUUACAAUUGACACACAAACUUCACAGACCACGUGGCUUUGCGCGAUCCUGCACAUUUGCCUUGGACAACAUAGAAGGAACAGGCUUACUAUCGGAGCAGACACAACUCCUUGUUGGAACUCUUGCUCUAUCCAGACUGGACUAUUGUAAUGCUCUGCAUCCACUGUUAAACCUCUGAUCAAGAAUACACCAGCAAAAGUUGUCUUUAACAAGCCAAAGAGACCAUGUCACACCUCUCCUCAUUAAUUUGCACUGGUUCACAAUUGCCGCUUCCAUUAAAUUCAAGGCUUUGAUGCUUGCCUACAGAACAGCCACUGGCUCUGCACCCCAUACCUAAAUUCACCUUCUUCAGACCUAUGUGCAGAAACUUGUGUUUUGCAGUUAUCCCAAAUUCAAUUUCAUGGACCUUCACUUUGACUAUUGCCUGCUCUUGGAAUAAUCUGCCUAACUCAACCCAUUUUUAAGAAAUGGCAAAAUGCAUCUUUAUGAACACUUUUUAAAAUAAUGUACAGCCACAUGUACUGUGCUAUUGGCUAACUGGGAUUUGUUACUGCACUUAUUGAUGCUUCUUUUGUUCUCCUAAUUUGAAUGUUGCUUUGGAGAAAAUGUAAAUAUUGCUGUUUUGUUUUACAUUUACAUAAAGAAUAAAUGUUUUCAGCUAAUGUAGGUGUUUUUGCAUGUUAAUAAUGUACUAAAAGCAUGUAUUCCGUAUGAUUUAAUUUAUACAUCUUCACAUACUGUGCUUCUUAUAUGGUGAAUGUGCAGGUUCCUUUAAAAUGCACAAGAAUACAUGAAUUGUUCAGAAAUUUCAAUUGAA